rnacentral:rRNA from 1 species
GAUGAACGCUGGCGGCGUGCCUAAUACAUGCAAGUCGAGCGAACAGAUGAGGAGCUUGCUCCUCUGACGUUAGCGGCGGACGGGUGAGUAACACGUGGAUAACCUACCUAUAAGACUGGGAUAACUUCGGGAAACCGGAGCUAAUACCGGAUAAUAUAUUGAACCGCAUGGUUCAAUAGUGAAAGACGGUUUUGCUGUCACUUAUAGAUGGAUCCGCGCCGCAUUAGCUAGUUGGUAAGGUAACGGCUUACCAAGGCAACGAUGCGUAGCCGACCUGAGAGGGUGAUCGGCCACACGAGAACGUAGACACGGACCAGGCGCCUGCGGGAGGCAGCAGUAGGGAAUCGUCCGCAAUGGGCGAAAGCCUGACGGAACAACGCCACGUGAGUGAUGAAAGUCUUCGGAUCGUAAAACUCUGUUAUUAGGGAAGAACAAAUGUGUAAGUAACUAUGCACGUCUUGACGGUACCUAAUCAGAAAGCCACGGCUAACUACGUG